rnacentral:rRNA from 1 species
UGGCUCAGGAUGAACGCUGGCGGCGUGCCCAAUACAUGCAAGUCGAACGAGGUAGCAAUACCGAGUGGCGAACGGGUGAGUAACACGUAGGUAACCUGCCCUUAAGCUUGGGAUACCCAGAGGAAACUUUGGCUAAUACCGGAUAACAACAGAGAAGGCAUCUUCUUUGCUUGAAAGGCCCCUUCAAGGGUCACUUAAGGAUGGACCUGCGGCGCAUUAGCUAGUUGGUGAGAUAACAGCCCACCAAGGCGAGGAUGCGUAGCCGAACUGAGAGGUUGAUCGGCCACAUUGGAACUGAGACACGGUCCAAACUCCUACGGGAGGCAGCAGUAAGGAGUUUUCGGCAAUGGGGGAAACCCUGACCGAGCAACGCCGCGUGAGCGAUGACGGCCCUAUGGGUUGUAAAGCUCUGUUGUAAGCCAUGAAUGACAGCUUGAGGAAAUGCAAGUUGUUUGACGACAGCUUACCAGAAAGCCACGGCUAACUACGUGCCAGCCGCAGC